rnacentral:rRNA from 1 species
UACGAAGGGGGCUAGCGUUGCUCGGAUUGACUGGGCGUAAAGGGCGCGUAGGCGGUUCGUACAGUCAGACGUGAAAUUCCUGGGCUCAACCUGGGGGCUGCGUUUGAUACGUACGGACUUGAGUGCGGAAGAGGGUCGUGGAAUUCCCAGUGUAGAGGUGAAAUUCGUAGAUAUUGGGAAGAACACCGGUGGCGAAGGCGGCGACCUGGUCCGAUACUGACGCUGAGGCGCGAAAGCGUGGGGAGCAGACAGG